rnacentral:lncRNA from 1 species
UAGGUGGGCUGAAUUAAAAAUCUGAGACCUGCUUUUAGGUGAAUGCGGGGUGAAAACAGGGACCGGCCAGGCGCGGUGGCUCACACCUGUAAUCCCAGCACUUCGGGAGGCCGAGGCGGGUGGAUGACCUGAAGUCAGGAGUUUGAAACCAGCCUGGCCAAUAUGGUGAAACCCCUGUGGUGAGAACGCUUAAAAUCUACUCACAUAGUGAUUUUCAAGUAUGCAAUACAUUGUUAUUAACUAUAGUCACCAAAUUAUACAGUAGAUCUCUUGAAUCUAUUCUUCCUAUCUAGCUGAAAUUUUAUAUUCUUUGAUCAGCCUCUCCAGUAACCCUUCAGGCAGCCCCUGGUAACCACCAUUCUACUCUCCACAUUUUUGCUUUAUCCAUUCAUCCAUUGAUGGACAGUUAGGUGGAUUCCAAAGCUUGACUAUUGUGAUAAUGCUGCAAUAUCAUUCUCCUUUUAUGGGUAAUAAAAUGGAGCUUCAACAUGUUAAAUUAAUUGCUCAAAGUUCCACAAGUGGGCAGGAUUUUUUUUUGUCUUUUUAUAUUUGUAACUCUAUUUCACAUAAAGGCUCUCUGUCCACUCAAAAGGUUUACCUCUUGCUGUCUGCCACCUGUUAUGCCCAAGGAGUAGUUCUUGGUCUGGGGACUUCUGAGAAGGCUACAAAAGCUCAGAAUCCUUUCUUGCAACUUUGCCGUGAUCUCUUUGUGGCCAUAGGAGGACCAUCAGUCUAUAUUGGCCUCUUUAAUAAGCCACAAAUAAUAAGAGUGGUUUAGAUUCGAGUCAAUCCAGGACACAGAAUGUAUGUUUUCAGAGGCUGCACAUAGAAUGCACAGGGGAUGAGGAAACUGGCCUCUUGCACAGUCACUGACUCUGACAUCUAAGCUCAGACAUGCCUCUUUCUCCAGCACUCUGGGACGACAGAGGUUCAAUGUGCGGCUUCUCUGUCACAAUCUACUACUCAGCUGCUCACAGCAGAAGUACAAGCAGAAUCUUUCUCCCCUUCCCCAUUAGAACUUGGUCCCUUCACGCAGUGGACUUCCUCCCUCCCACCAGAUUCCCAGAAGCAACAUGGAGUCUGAGUCUCUCUCCUCCAUGUGGGAUGCUUCCUUCCCAUAGGCAGCAGGACCUGGGAGUUUCCUGGGGCAGAUCCUCUCUGUCCCUGGGUAGAUGACUUUUAAAAUACCAUUAUUGCUUUCCAAUCCCCUUCUACUCUGUUGUGUAGUUCCAUAUUGCUGGAUCCUGAGUCCAAAGGAUUAAAUUACAUCACUUUGUUAGAUCCCACCAAAUUAGCUACCUUCUAAAACCAAGAAGAAUUAAAGGAAAAGUUUUCAACUAUAUUAAGAAUUGAUAUUUCCAUGGAUAUUGUAUUUUUUUUAACUUAAAUUAUGGGAAAAGCAUAAACAACUAUAUUACUUUCUUCAGGAAGAGGAUUAGUAAAAGAUACUCAGUUCAAAGGAAGUUAAGAAUUUUAGUAGGAGCAUGGACCUGCUCCAGCUAGAUUGUAAAUAUCAAUAUAAACUACUUCCUUUAUAAGAAAAACGGUUUAGCUCUUCCAUUGAAGUAGCCCAAGAGUGGCUGGGCACGGUGGCUUACGCCUGUAAUCCCAGCACUUUGAGAGGCUGAGGCGGGUGGAUCACCUGAGGUCAGGAGUUUGAGACCAGCCUGACCAAUAUGGUGAAACCCCAUCUCUAGUAAAAAUACAAAAACUAGCUGGGCAUGGUGGUGGGCGCCUGUAAUCCCAGCUAUUUGGGAGGCUGAGGUAAGGGUAUUGGUUGAACCCCGGAGGCAGAGGUUGCAGUGAGCUGAGAUCGCGCCACUGCACUCCAGCCUGCGCAACAGAGUGAGACUCCAUCUCAAAAAGAAAAAAAAAAAAGAAAGAAAAAGCUCAAGAGCAAUGUGACCCCAUGACACAGCUUAAUGCUCACUACUAUAGUAAUAUUAUUUUCCACUAACGGGAACCAGGAUCCUUAGAGAAAUGACUAAUUUGAUAUUUGAGGUUACCUCCCAUCAGGGUCACAAACAAGAAUGUAGGCAGCUUCCCAACCUAAAUCACUGCUAAUAAGAUGAUGAAGUUAUCUGUUAUAAAACAAGCAGCAAGUGGUUUUCCAGUUGCUAUGAUGAGAAACUCAGAUUGUCAGCAAUCUCAUGAGAUUGCCCAUGAUAAUUCCAACACUUGAAGGGCACAUUGCUGUCACUUUCAAAGAUUCACUGCUAUUCCAACUUGCUUUUCAGAAAAACUGUGAGUGGCCAGGCCAUACUGUUUUCUACGAUAACACAUCCUUUUGAGCUCAGAGGUACUUAGGUUUUCUGUGCAAUGGCUCUUUUUACAAUCCAGUGAAGCCUAUGGGCCCUUUUUAGAAUAAUAUUCUCAAAUGCAUAAAAUGAAAUAAGUUGAAUUACAAGGAAAGCUAGGUAUAGUGAAAUAAAGUUAUCAAAAUAUUUUUAAAAUUUGUGAUAUAGUAAUAUAUACAUUCUUUAUUAGUAAAUUAAAAAACAAAAACAUUUA